rnacentral:lncRNA from 1 species
AGUAUUGUCAUCUGUACAAUUUCAGAGAAAAGGAUUUCAAGGGCUACGUAAUCGAACAAAACGAAAGUAAAACGGAUCGACAAGGAAAAAAUUGCUCUCAGUGUGCAAAAUUUAUUUAUACCAUCAAACGAAAGCAUUGGAGAUCAGGAUUAGAAAAUGAAGUUACAAAAAAAAACUGAAAGAAAAUGUUCGCCGACGGUGUAAAACUGUCAAUUGUCGAAAUCAGAGGCUUCAUUCGCAGAUGCUUAGGACCAAGAUUGAAGCAAUGAUAUUAAACUGUGCAAAAGACAAGCAAGAAGCAGUACUCGAAGCAAUUUCAAGAUUGUCUGAUGCAGAGCAAUCAACUGUUGAAGCAUGGUUAUCGGCAGUGAAUUACAAAAGCAACAACGAUCGACAGUAUAAAACACAAUGGAUUUACGAGUGUUUGCUCUUACGAAUGAAAAGUAAGAAAGCCUACAUUCAUGUCAGGAGGCAUAAAGCACUCGCUCUAGUGGUUAAAGGCACGUAUGGCUUUCAGUGCAACAUCCUCGAAGCUUUGAAGACAACGACUUCGAACAUGUCACCUCAAGAUAUACGUUGCACAAGAGGAGAUCACGCAUUGGUGCUAUUCAAAGGAAAAUGGGUACAAACAUCAGAGUGCUUUUUGAGUAAGGGCGUAGCUAUUGGAACAAUCGUGCACAAAAUCAUAAUAGAAUGUGUCAUACUACCAGAAAAAGCUGGCUUACGCAUCAAUGCAAUUACAACAGACGGAGCAAGCAGGAAUCGAUCGAUGUGGAACACAUUUGGGGUAACGGACAAAAAUGUUGCCAUCGAUGAUAUUGUAGACUAUACACACCGACACUGGUUUUUCUCUGAUUUUCCGUAUUUAAUCGAAUGCAUCAGAAAUUUCUUCACAUAUCAGCAAAAGUACAACCAAGCUUGGUUCUUCGGCAUCGUGGAUGUUUUGCAACUUUUUAAAAAUAGCUACAAAGAUUUGAAAGAUUGUGAAGGCAACAUUAGAUUCUGUUAAGAAAUGAAGGCUAUCAUCCAUGCAAUAAAUAUUCAAACAUCGAUAUGUGAUUGGUACCUGGAAAUCUAGCUUGGCAGGUAUAAAGUAUAAUUUUGUAACCAAAAUAAUAUUCAAAUGCAAUUGUCACGUAACCAGAAGUACAAAUUUUGGCAACUCUUCAAUCUGUUGACAUAACUUUGGGUAAAAACGUUAUGUAUUAUCUAGAUUAUGUAAACCUUCAGCUGUUGUACAGCUCUCUCAUGAUACAGAUCAUAUCACUGUAUCGAAUAAAGUAGAUUGUAUCAUUGUGUUAAUAAUCAUCAUCUAUCGUUAAUUAUCAUCCAGCUUCGUUCACUACACUUCCUUAUCGCUGUUUUGCGGAUCCUACAUUGAUGAUCUACAAUCUCUACCUAUCUCUCUGAACAAAAGCUAUUUAUGAAAUCUGAAUUUUCGUUGUUGAAGAAUGAGAUUUUGAGUAUCUCAUGACUGCACGUCUAAAUCAACCUAAUCUGGAGCUUCUGUUUGGAAUGAUGCGGGAGUGCUGUGGAUCAAAUGACCAUGUUGAUUUCAGACUCCUUGUCGAAAUGAACCUGUUGGUAUCUAUGUACUCUGUCAUCGAACCACCUGAAGGUUGUGAUAUAUGUAGUGCGGAAGUGUUCAAUAUUCUGUUAAGCAUUAAAGAUAUGGAUUAUGUUGCAGAACAGAAAGAGUAACCGGAUACGUAAAUAAGUGCAAUCCUUGAUUCUGGAUGUAGAUCUAAUAUUUUUGCUGAUGCUGCAUUAUUCAUCCAAUAAUCAAUUUGUAGAUCGAUUUCAAACUACUACUUUCACCAAAUAUGAAUCAUUGGAUACUCUCCGACAUCAAGCAAUUUGUCCAGACUUCAGGAGAUCCACAAAUUCCUGGGUAUUAGUAAUUGUCAUAUACUUUGAAAAUACCAUGAGUUCACCAAUCAAAAUUUUAAACAAUCAUGUCAAUAAGUACAGCUACUCUCUUGCUGAUAGUAGCAUAAUUUUUUAUCCUCUGAAGAGUACAAAAUGUGUUUGUACCUUUUGUAAAACACUAUCUAUCACAUGGCAACUCAACGGAAUCUAAUUUAUUUUGUCAAUAUCGAAAAUGAAACUCGUUUUCGAAACUUGCCAUUAGUGAAUUGGGCAAUGCUACUAGUAAAAAUAAUUUAUAUGUGCUAAACCACAUGGUCGGUUGGAGAAUUUAUCUGCGAAAGUGCAACAAGUGAUUCUGCUUUGGCGUCCAGAGCAAAGGAUGCUAGAAUUCCUUGCAGUUGGGAUAAAGCUUUCUAAGAGAUGCUUAAUAUCAGCCCAAAAAAUCCGGUUAUUCAAUUCCAUUGUCUGAUCGCCAACUGAGCAGGCUGCUAGAUCAGCAUGCUAGUUGCCAAGGAUGUCAAUAUGGGAGGGCAUCUAAACUAGGAUGCAUUGGCCUUCAUGGUUGUAAAGAUCAAAUAAUUGCUAUUUUAUUGAGAACAGGAUAGGAUUGACUUUGAUUUUAGUCAAAGGCUGAGCCAAGGCAGUGAGAACACUCAGUGAAUCUGAGAGGAUUAGGCUCUUGAAAACAGAUCAUAGUCGUAGCGAAAUCUAAAGCUUUGGAAAUGCCAAGCGUCUCUGCGGAGAAGAUGGAAGAGUUAUCACUAAGUCUAAGGAGGACCGGCUCUUCAGCGUUUGGAGUGUGUAAAAUUGUGGAAGUCAAAUUCGCAAAAGUUUCUCCUCGGUCGUUUGGGAUCGGUACGACCCCAAAAACUAAUCUAUUUCUUAUGGGACGUAAAACAAGUGAGGAUGAAGGGUUAACCUCGAGGAAGGGAAAGGGUCACACUUGAUGGUCUUACCUAUAGAGGUGUUGACGUUCACCGUAGGAAAGAUAGCCGGAUACUCUAAAUUAAAGCAACAGAAAGUCAUGAACGUCCGAAUCCAAGAUGCAGUUUCGUUUGAAAAAUGCUAUGAGAGUCAUUCAGUAAAGACCCUAGAGAACAGAACACCUAUCAGUGUUGCCGGAUGGCUGUCGCACAAAGCUCCUAGAGUAAUUUUGAAAUCCUGCUAGAUUGUCCUAAACCACAAAAAAUUACUGCCUAAAAUUUUUAUAAUUUUAUAUAAUUGGU